GAUUCAUGAUAACUCCUCGAAUCGCAUGGCCUUGUGCCGGCGAUGGUUCAUUCAAAUUUCUUCCCUAUCAACUUUCGAUGUUUGGGUAUUGGCCAAACAUGGUUGCAACGGGUAACGGAGGGUUAGGGCUCGACCCCGGAGAAGGAGCCUGAGAAACGGCUACUACAUCCAAGGAAGGCAGCAGGCGCGCAAAUUACCCAAUCCCGACACGGGGAGGUAGUGACAAUAAAUACUGAUACAGGGCUCUUUUGGGUCUUGUAAUUGGAAUGAGUACAAUUUAAAUCCCUUAACGAGGAACAAUUGGAGGGCAAGUCUGGUGCCAGCAGCCGCGGUAAUUCCAGCUCCAAUAGCGUAUAUUAAAGUUGUUGUGGUUAAAAAGCUCGUAGUUGAACCUUGGGCCUGGCUGGCCGGUCCGCCUCACCGCGUGUACUGGUCCGGCCGGGCCUUUCCCUCUGUGGAACCCCAUGCCCUUCACUGGGUGUGGCGGGGAACCAGACUUUUAC
rnacentral:rRNA from 1 species